rnacentral:rRNA from 1 species
UACGUAGGGUGCGAGCGUUGUCCGGAUUUAUUGGGCGUAAAGAGCUCGUAGGCGGUUUGUCGCGUCGGCCGUGAAAUCUCCACGCUUAACGUGGAGCGUGCGGUCGAUACGGGCAGACUUGAGUUCGGUAGGGGAGACUGGAAUUCCUGGUGUAGCGGUGAAAUGCGCAGAUAUCAGGAGGAACACCGGUGGCGAAGGCGGGUCUCUGGGCCGAUACUGACGCUGGAGGAGCGAAAAGCGUGGGGAGCGAACAGG